rnacentral:misc_RNA from 1 species
AAGUCGUAACAAGGUUUCCGUAGGUGAACCUGCGGAAGGAUCAUUAUCGAGUUUUGAAACGGGUUGUAGCUGUCCUUCGCAAAGGAGGUACGUGCACGCCUUGCUCAUCCACUCUUCAAACCCCUGUGCACUUUUUGUAGGCUUGGUGGGAUAGGCUGACUUCGGUCGGCUUUGAAAGCCUCGCCUAUGUAUUAAAACAAACGCUUCAGUUCAGAAUGUAAACCUUGCAUAAUAAGCAAAUAAAUACAACUUUCAGCAACGGAUCUCUUGGCUCUC